rnacentral:rRNA from 1 species
CGAUGGAUAGGGGUUCUGAGAGGAAGGUCCCCCACAUUGGAACUGAGACACGGUCCAAACUCCUACGGGAGGCAGCAGUGAGGAAUAUUGGUCAAUGGGCGAGAGUCUGAACCAGCCAAGUAGCGUGAAGGAUGACUGCCCUAUGGGUUGUAAACUUCUUUUAUAUGGGAAUAAAGUGAGCCACGUGUGGCUUUUUGUAUGUACCAUACGAAUAAGGAUCGGCUAACUCCGUGCCAGCAGCCGCGGUAAUACGGAGGAUCCGAGCGUUAUCCGGAUUUAUUGGGUUUAAAGGGAGCGUAGGCGGACUAUUAAGUCAGCUGUGAAAGUUUGCGGCUCAACCGUAAAAUUGCAGUUGAUACUGGUCGUCUUGAGUGCAGUAGAGGUAGGCGGAAUUCGUGGUGUAGCGGUGAAAUGCUUAGAUAUCACGAAGAACUCCGAUUGCGAAGGCAGCUUACUGGACUGUAACUGACGCUGAUGCUCGAAAGUGUGGGUAUCAAACAGGAUUGGAUACCCUGGUAGUCCACACAGUAAACGAUGAAUACUCGCUGUUUGCGAUAUACAGCAAGCGGCC